ACGAGUUAGGGCCUCUGGCCCGAACCUCCAACCCUUUGUAUCAAAACCUCGUUGCCUCGGGGAGGCCCUGCCUCACGGCUGGCCCCCCGAUGGACCACUAAACUCUGCAUCUGUAUGACGUCUGAGUAAAGACUUUAAAUUAAAUCA
rnacentral:misc_RNA from 1 species